rnacentral:rRNA from 1 species
UACGGGGGGGGCAAGCGUUGUUCGGAUUCAUUGGGCGUAAAGGGUGCGUAGGUGGCGCGGUAAGUCGGGUGUGAAAUCUCGGAGCUUAACUCCGAAAUUGCAUUCGAUACUGCCGUGCUUGAGGACUGGAGAGGAGACUGGAAUUCAUGGUGUAGCAGUGAAAUGCGUAGAGAUCAUGAGGAAGACCAGUGGCGAAGGCGGGUCUCUGGACAGUUCCUGACACUGAGGCACGAAGGCCAGGGGAGCAAACGGG